AGAAAAAAAUUGUAGUUAAUUUUGGAGUUACUGUACUUGGGGAUUGUUCUGAACGUUGCUUAGAGAAAACCUCACUAAAAAUAAAAAUCAAUGAUUUCAUUUACAGACAUCGGCAGUACAUCACAAUGAAAAAAUAAGUAAAAUCAACAGCAAUCUUCUGUUACAAAAUUCUCAUUGCAUUUAUAACUGGAUUGUGACCUUGGAAAUUGUAUGAGGAAAGAAGAAAUGUUCCGACUUACCUUUUUGGGAGUCACUUAAUGGCAAAAAGAGCUAAACGUGAUAUACAAGGAGUAAAUUGCAGUAGUCUUGUUACUUCCAGGACGACAUACACGAUAGAAACUUUCCAUUCAGAGGAAGAACCCAGAAGAAGCAGGCAGGUACAAUAAGGUAAAAUUCUGACAACGAGGCACAGACAGAUCCAAAGCAGUGAUGUGCACCCUGCAGUCACUAAGCAAG
rnacentral:lncRNA from 1 species